CCUACGGGAGGCAGCAGUGGGGAAUAUUGGGCAAUGGGCGCAAGCCUGACCCAGCAACGCCGCGUGAAGGAAGAAGGCUUUCGGGUUGUAAACUUCUUUUCUCAGGGACGAAGCAAGUGACGGUACCUGAGGAAUAAGCCACGGCUAACUACGUGCCAGCAGCCGCGGUAAUACGUAGGUGGCAAGCGUUAUCCGGAUUUACUGGGUGUAAAGGGCGUGUAGGCGGGACUGCAAGUCAGAUGUGAAAACCACGGGCCCAACCUGUGGCCUGCAUUGGAAACUGUAGUUCUUGAGUACUGGAGAGGCAGACGGAAUUCCUGGUGUAGCGGUGAAAUGCGUAGAUAUGAGGAGGAACCCCGGUGGCGAGGGCGGUCUGCGGGACAGCAACUGACGCUGAGGCGCGAAAGCGUGGGGAGCAAACAGGAUUAGAUACCCUUGUAGGC
rnacentral:rRNA from 1 species